GACGAACGCUGGCGGCGUGCUUAACACAUGCAAGUCGAACGCUGAAGCUCAGCUUUUGUUGGGUGGAUGAGUGGCGAACGGGUGGGUAACACGUGAGUAACCUGCCCCCUUCUUUGGGAUAACGCCCGGAAACGGGUGCUAAUACUGGAUAUUCACUGGUCUUCGCAUGGGGGUUGGUGGAAAGGGUUUUUCUGGUGGGGGAUGGGCUCGCGGCCUAUCAGCUUGUUGGUGGGGUGAUGGCCUACCAAGGCUUUGACGGGUAGCCGGCCUGAGAGGGUGACCGGUCACAUUGGGACUGAGAUACGGCCCAGACUCCUACGGGAGGCAGCAGUGGGGAAUACUGCACAAUGGGCGCAAGCCUGAUGCAGCGACGCCGCGUGAGGGAUGGAGGCCUUCGGGUUGUGAACCUCUUUCGCUCAUGGUCAAGCCGCAACAAUGGUUGUGGUGAGGGUAGUGGGUAAAGAAGCGCCGGCUAACUACGUG
rnacentral:rRNA from 1 species